GCUCUGGUUAAGGGCAGCAGCAGCAGGAACAGCAGCAGAAGGUGGAGGGUGAAGAGAGGCCAGGGAGCCAUCACAGGAACCUGGAGGAAGUCAGUCAGCAUGAGACCUGAUGGGAGAAUGCUGAAGAUGACUCUUGUAUCAAGUUGACAAAAAUAAACCAGAACAAUGGGGAUUGGAUCAUGAGACCUCUGACAUCAGCAGUGGAUUAAUCCAGCCAUGGAUCCAUUUACUGGAUGCCUCUACAGGAAGGUGAUGAGUAGGCGGAGUCUAGUUGGAGGAAGUCACUAUGCUGGGAGCAGCCUCCUCUGUCAAAUGAUCUUGCCACUAAGUUGCUCUGCUUCCCCAUGGACCCAUAACAAUGGCUAAUAUGUUACCAAUGCACCAAUGCCCACUGUCUGAAUUGAGUGCUUCCAGGUUCUUGGUGUCUUAUUCAAGGAACUGAAAUAAGUACACAGAGUCUUAUUCCUAAGAUGUUUGCGGCAGCUGCUAGCCCCGAAGAGAUGGUUGUAGGUCCACAUGUGACAAGCGGCUACAGUUUCCCACCAAAGGGAGG